CUGAAGGAAGGUUAGUCUAAGCACUAAAUUCCCAAAGGGGGGCUGGAAUCUGCCCCUAGAGCAGAGAGUCCAAUUGUCUGAAUCUAGCUUUGUGGAAGGGACUAGGAAGGCGGUAAAGAGAAAGAGAUCCCCGAGAGAAGAGAGAACUGAGGAGUUAGCUUUCUGAAGAGGCAUAAUUGAACCACAGACUGAACCUCAAUGUGGAUGUGGACCAGAGCAGCUGAGUCUGAGAGGCAAGAGGGGCUGCUAACAAUUGACGGGUAGGAAGAGGCAGGAGACCCUGGAGCGAUGCUUAAUGUUGAAGCGUCCUGACUGAGAGGUAAGAAGACAAAGAAUGUAACCAUUUAUUCUUUGACCUUAUGUAACAUCUUUCUUCCACGGAUCUCAACAUGCUGGCUAUGAUGCUUCAGAUGCUCAAGACAGGACAGUCUCUGCCCCCAUGGAGCCCAGUCUAUGGACAGACAAGUAGAGAGCUCAGAGCUGGUGUGUUUGGCCUCAUUCAAUAGUCACUGGAGCCCAUCAAGCCCUCGGUGGUUUACACACUUAUGCCAGAAGUUACUGAACAAGUGCUAAAUACUGUAAUCAACAUAGACUAGUAAUGAGAAGGACACA